UGCGUAGGGUGCAAGCGUUAAUCGGAAUUACUGGGCGUAAAGCGUGCGCAGGCGGUUUUGUAAGUCUGUCGUGAAAUCCCCGGGCUUAACCUGGGAAUGGCGAUGGAGACUGCAAGGCUAGAGUUUGGCAGAGGGGGGUAGAAUUCCACGUGUAGCAGUGAAAUGCGUAGAGAUGUGGAGGAACACCGAUGGCGAAGGCAGCCCCCUGGGUCAAAACUGACGCUCAUGCACGAAAGCGUGGGGAGCAAACAGG
rnacentral:rRNA from 1 species